AGAUGCCCCCUGAAAUAAUUCCUGUUGUAAGAAUGAAAGGAAUCCAGACAUGUUGCAUUGUCAGUGAGGGCUCGGAGGAGCAGGGAGCGAGUUGCAGGGCAACUGAUCGAUCUUGGGCAUUUGUUUGGGCAGUUGCAGAAGCCGGCUGUUGGACAGCUGAUUGGCGAUCCUAGGUUAUAAGGGUUUUUGGAUAGAGCAAUCAGAUUGGUACGUGCGUGUAGAAUCUGGAACGGCUGCAGUAAGUGAAAACCCUUUGUUUUUGAGAUUUGGCGUUAAAAACAGAACUGACAGGGCGCAGAGACUGCCACAGAACUGUUCUUCCCUCCUUACAUAUUGACUGGGUUUGAUCUUCACGUAUUUAAAUGUAUGGGUUAUAUUAAACAUACACGUUAUACGCUAAAUAUACAGGUACCCAUGCCAACAAGCAGGAAUAGGUGAAGGCCUCCCUAAGAUGCUCCAUGCAGCCCACUUUAUGAGAUAGUGUGGCCCUCUGCUUGGAGUCAGCAGGUCAGCAGGCAGUGUCCCGUCAGGCAUGUGUGAUAGCUGUACUACUUCUUUGUGUGUGGCUGUGGCAUGUACACACAGGUAUUAGUGCUAUAAUGCUCCCUAAUAGCAACGCUAAUUACACUCAGGCUAUUUACUAAAGCAAGUAAAAUGCUGCUCCCCGAGCACUAAAUGAACUUUUCCAGCAGAAGAAAAGGAAAAAAAACACAGCCCAAGACUUUGUGUGGGGGAGGGGGGCUGCCUCUCUCUUUUUUUUGUCUUUCUGUCCAAUCCCAUUUGCUGGCAGUGAAACCUGCUUUAGACCUCAGAACAGUCAAUUACUGCAAGUCCUGGAGCCCAUCAAUCAUAGCUGGGCCCUGAAGUUUAAAGGGGGCGGAGCCUGAGCCUGCCCUGAGCUUUCUCGGAUGAGGGCCCUUUUAAUGCCCUAUCUCCGUGAUCCCACAAGUCUAAAUAGAAUAGAAUUAGAAAGCCGAGUUAAAGUGUUAGUGGGUGUCAGAGGGUCACUGAGCUUCCCCACUGGCCCUAAGGACUUCUGAUGCCCCUGUAAUACAGCAGUAGGUUUCAGGGGUCAGGGUCCCUCUUCUAGAAGAUUAGAAACAAGUCAUCAGUUCAGGACAAUUAACCAUUGCUGUGCUGGAAGAGGGCGGUUCCUCCAGGCGGUUACUUCUGCCCCUCAGGCACUGAAGGGGUUAAAGCGUGGCAGCUCCCUAACAUAGAUGUCUGCGGGAACAAUCGUGCCAGAAAGCUAAAGUAGCUAAUGCAAGGGGUAGCAGGAUGGAGGCAUUGGGCAUCCCCAGUGCACAUAGCGCAACUUCAUAUCGCUGGACUCUAGGUUCGGGACUUGGGCUGCACCGGAGAGUUGUCGGGAAGGAAACUCUCCUGGGAAUGGAGAUGUGAUGUCUCGGUUCUAAGAUCCAGCAGAAGAGGCAGCUCUGUGAAGGAGAGAAUAAGGGGAUGGGGCGCUACUCGCCACAGGCAGAUAUGGGCCAGUCUGGUUAUUGGAAAGGUACCAGGCAGUCAGACAUUGGAACUCCCUGCUGAGUCUCAGCUGAGUGGGACUCUGCCCCAGGGCAUUAGGCACCACUCAGCAGGUAUAAUGGUGGCAGCAAAAGGCAGUAGCAGUGGGUGAGGUUGGUAAGGAACGGGUCACUAUUGGGGUGAGAGUUCCAGCUGUGAGGGGAUCAUUAAGGACCAACUGCUAAAACAAUAAAGCGCGUCUGACAGGUCGGAAUCUCCGCACCAGCGGCUGGGACAAUCGCGACACCCCAGCAGCCGCAGCCGCAGCAGCACAUCAUUAGGUCUCUAACACAAAGGUAAAUAAGGGGAGAUGCAGCGGCGGACUCACUAGCAAACACCCAUGGGGGAGCCUAAUGCGCUGCUGGGCUCCCUCUAACACCUCUGGGUGCCCCGGGAUGGAGAUGUCCCAUUCCUUUCUUCCUCUGGCAAUUUAUCCGAUUUAACCAAUACUUCAGUAUCAGCAGCAAAAACGACUCUGGGCACCUAGCAUCAUCCUUAAUUCUAUUAUUACUAACUAAUAAUCAUCAUGUUUAUUAGCUUGCCCUUAAUACCAAUUAAAGCCAAGGCUACAAAAA